CACCCAGGUGCCCUGGCAUUGUAAAUUUUAACACCGACACAUAAAAACAAGUGAUUUCAUGUUUUAAAAAGUGUGUAUGGAUUGUUUUUGUAUGAGGGGAUUUAAUUUUGUAACUUGAGAUAUUUUACAUUUCCUAAAAUUCACCCACAUGAAGUGUAUAUAUAUAGUUCAGUGGUCUUUAAUACAUCCAUGGAGUUGUAUCCCUAUCCCCACAGUCUUGUUGGAGAACGUAUUGACGCCCUGGAAGGACUCCUGUUCCGACCCCGUCCAUCCCUGUUCCUCUUUUCCCAGCCCCAGUCGAUCACUAGUGUACUUUCUGUCCAGGAAUUUGACUCUUCUGGACACAUCACAUCGAAGGCCUAAACUUUAGGAUUCCAUUUUUGUCUGGCCUUUUUUUUUUUUUUUUUUUUUUUACUUAUGUGUUUGUAAGAUCCAUGUAUCAACACUUCAUUCUCUUUUAGGAACAAUACGUGAUUGGCUGCGCUGCAUUUUAUCAGUUGCCAGACAUUUGGGUUAUUUUGUCUUUUGGCUCAACUGCCGAGAUCCUACUGCCAUGAACUAUUUUGCGUGGGUGCAAACUUUCAUUUCUCUUGGUUACACACCUCAGAAAUGGAAUCGCUGGGUUCUGUGGCAGUUUUAUGUUUCGCGUUUUGAAGAGCCUCCGGAAGGUUUCGCCAGACAGCUCUACCUUUUUACAUUCCUGUCAGCAGUGUGGGGAGCUCCAGUUUCUUCACAUACUCCCCAAUGUUUGUUACCAUCUUUCUGACUUUAGCUGUCACAGUUGUGUGAAACGGGUUCUCCUUACGUGAAGUGGAGGCAAAUGAUGAAGCUGGGAAGGGGGACCAGGAGGACCUGUUUUUCUGCAAAACAGGGUUGCAGGGGCGCCUGGUGGCUUAGUCGGUUGAGUGUCCAACCCUUGAUUUCAGCUCAGCUCAUGAUCUCACGGGUUGUGAGUUCAAGUCCCAUAUCGGGCUCUGUGGUGACGGUGCGGAGCCUGCUUGGGAUUCUCUCUGUCUCAAAAACCUUAAAAAAAGUGGGGGGGUUGCAUGUUGGGUUCACAAUUCUAGGGGACCACAGAGGGCAUACUUAGUGAACUAUUUUUUUUCCCCAGAUGCUGUAUUUUAGAGCUAUAAAUGGCACGAGAAGGUACUCAGAGUAUACAGUUGGAUAAAAUUUGACCUGUAGGACUGUAAUCAAAAUAAUGACGUUUCCCUCACCACACCUGCCCCUUGGGAACCCCUCACCUCAUCCCUUCCUUCUCUUGUUUCUCCUCCCUAUGAUGUCACUACACAUUAGUUUGAGUUUUCUGGAAUUUUAUAAAGGAUUAUUAUACACGUGCACAUAAAGUUUUGUGACUUUGUAAGUAGAGUUACAUAGCUGGAUAGCUUCUGGCAGACCUGUGUUGAGAUUCGUCCACAGUAUGUACAUCAGUAGGUCGUUCCUUUUUUGCUGGGUGGUCCUCACUGGGUAGACAACUUCUCGUUUGUCUGUUGAUGUCCACUGGGGAUUUCACCCCAGUUUUAGUUCUUAGAAACGAAGCUGCUGUGGACAUUUUUGAAGAAGUCUUUCUCCAGACCCGUGUUUUUACUUCACUAUGAGUGGAUCAUACGGUCAGGGGACGUUUGGCAUUUUCACAGAUCCCCGAACUGUCUCCCACGGUGGCUGCACUAUUUGCUUUCCUACCAGUAGUGAGAUUCACAGCCCCUCCACACUCUGGAUUUGGAGUCCUUCUCCCUCUGCUGCGAGGACCCAGCGAUUCUUGUAAGUGCAAGUCUGCUGGUCUGAAAGUAUUUUAAUGUUAGAAAGAUUUCCUUUUUUGCUGUGCAUAAAUUUUGACAGUUUUUUUUUUUUAAAGAUCUUGUUCCACUGUCCUGUGACUUGCACUGUUUUUGAUCAGAAAUCUGCCAUCAUCCUUGCCUUUGUGAAACUAUCUACAGAUUGCAAAUCUUUAACAGCAGCGUUUCUUAUUUUUAUGUCCCCGCGUUUCUCUACUUGCCUCUUCAUCUGAAAUACAGUGAUAGUGCCUGUUUAACAUCCUUGUCUGCUGAUUAUAACAUCUGUGUCAGUUUGGGGGUGAUUUUGGUU